rnacentral:rRNA from 1 species
UAGGGAAUCUUCGGCAAUGGACGAAAGUCUGACCGAGCAACGCCGCGUGAGUGAAGAAGGUUUUCGGAUCGUAAAACUCUGUUGUUAGAGAAGAACAAGGACGUUAGUAACUGAACGUCCCCUGACGGUAUCUAACCAGAAAGCCACGGCUAACUACGUGCCAGCAGCCGCGGUAAUACGUAGGUGGCAAGCGUUGUCCGGAUUUAUUGGGCGUAAAGCGAGCGCAGGCGGUUUCUUAAGUCUGAUGUGAAAGCCCCCGGCUCAACCGGGGAGGGUCAUUGGAAACUGGGGGACUUGAGUGCAGAAGAGGAGAGUGGAAUUCCAUGUGUAGCGGUGAAAUGCGUAGAUAUAUGGAGGAACACCAGUGGCGAAGGCGGCUCUCUGGUCUGUAACUGACGCUGAGGCUCGAGAGCGUGGGGAGCAAACAGG